AGCGGCGGACGGGUGAGUAACGCGUGGGCAAUCUGCCCUCUAGCCUGGGAUAACAGUUCGAAAGGACUGCUAACACCGGAUAUGCUCCCACCCUGGCAUCAGGGAGAGAGGAAAGUUUACACUAGAGGAUGAGCCCGCGUCCCAUUAGCUAGUUGGUGAGGUAACGGCCCACCAAGGCGACGAUGGGUAGCCGACCUGAGAGGGUGAACGGCCACACUGGGACUGAGACACGGCCCAGACUCCUACGGGAGGCAGCAGUAGGGAAUUUUCCGCAAUGGGCGAAAGCCUGACGGAGCAACGCCGCGUGAGGGAUGAAGGUUUUCGGAUCGUAAACCUCUGUCUUCAGGGACGAUAAUGACGGUACCUGAGGAGGAAGCCACGGCUAACUACGUGCCAGCAGCCGCGGUAAUACGUAGGUGGCAAGCGUUGUCCGGAAUUACUGGGCGUAAAGGGCGUGUAGGCGGCCUUUUAAGUCAGGCGUGAAAUCCAUGGGCUUAACCCAUGAAUUGCGUUUGAAACUGGAGGGCUUGAGGAUCGGAGAGGGCAGUGGAAUUCCCAGUGUAGCGGUGAAAUGCGUAGAUAUUGGGAGGAACACCAGUGGCGAAGGCGACUGCCUGGACGACACCUGACGCUGAGGCGCGAAAGCUAGGGGAGCAAACGGGAUUAGAUACCCCGGUAGUCCUAGCCGUAAACGAUGGGUACUAUGUGUGAGAGGUAUCAACCCCUUCCAUGCCGCAGCUAACGCAAUAAGUACUCCGCCUGGGGAGUACCGCCGC
rnacentral:rRNA from 1 species